ensembl:lncRNA
AGACCAUAGAUUCAUAUUGAAGACGGCGCGCUAGCGGAUCUAGUCUUCUAUAUAUCUAUGGUCGGAACGUCUGGUAGCAUCUCUGGCUGCUGUUGAUCUUGUUUUUGGAGUAAAACACGGUGGAAGCUGAAUUAGUGAGGAUGACUCCUGCUCCUGUCAUCUCUAAGCUCCUCACACAUCUUUACCUGCACAUGAGGAAAAUCACUCCUGUAGAAUGCAGAUGUUCAGAGGGAGAUGAUGCCACAUCUGGUCCAGCUGAUGGAAGGUCUUGAAGUUCUCUGACUGGCCUCGACUGAAGAUGGUCGUCUCACUGGAUUUAAGGUUCAGAUGCUCAGUAACAAACUCCACCAAUGAGCCAACAGGGAAGCUUUAGGUUUAUUAAAUGUUGCUAUGAAGGUUUCGCUGUUUUUCUUUGUGAAUGCAAUGAGCUCCAACUGAAACUUGAAUUAGAACUUAGAAGUAAAUCCUUCCAUCUGAAAGGAUUUAGUUGCAUUAAUAACCUCAUAACAUUCUAAUUUUUAUUCCAGUCUUGGUUGGAAAUAGAAUCUCUGUAUUGAUUCAGGUAAAAACUGAACUUCACAGCAUGC